rnacentral:lncRNA from 1 species
AUGGCAUCAUCAACCAUUAUAUAAAUACAUAUAAUUUGACAAGUGAAUCUCAGCAUUUCACAACAAAUAGUCAUAUACACGUAAUUAGAACUUGACCGUCAGCGGAGUGACUCUGGAUGGGAGAUAUGACUACUGAAUGUCAAAGUACCUGCCCAAAAGAUGGGAGUACGUGGACACCUCAAUCUACGUCUCAACCACCCCUGAAUCUGAAAACAUGAAGUUGAAAACGUGAGUAUAAACUCAGUGAGUGAACAUAGGAAGGGAACAAGCAAUUACAAGGAAUGAUUUAGAAAUCAUGAUGCACUUAAGUUCGAAAACAGUGCAACCUAGUUCAAGUUCUUAUUAAAAUCUUUCCAUCAACCCAAGUUAUUAAAUCAUUUCAUAAUGAAGGAACUAUAUUUAGCAGGAAAUCGGAAAGAGAGGAAAUUUCUAGCAAUCAUCCAAGCAAGGCAAUAUAAACAGAAUGUUCUUGUUGUAAUAAAAUCAAUUCACAUGUAAAUGGGAAAUUUUCAAGAUUUAUCAUGCCAUAUAAACACAUAUUAUAAUCAUAAUCUUUCUAUUGCAUAUACAUAUGCUUAAGCAUAUAUCAAUUAAUAUACCACCACACCUCAUCCAGCUCAUGCACAUCAUCACCGGCAUGUGCACUGCCAACUCCACACAUGCACGGUUAUAAUUAUCACGACAACAUCAUUACCGGCAUGUGCACUACCCGCUCCGCACAUGCACGGUUGUAAUUAUCAUGACAUCAUCAUUAUCGGCACGUGCACUGCCCAUUCCGCACAUGCAUGGUUGUAAUUAUUAUGACAGCAUUAUUAUUGGCAUGUGCACUGCCCACUCCGUACAUGCACGGUUGCAUUUGUCACACAAUGAUACCAUUUAUGACAUAGUAUAUAUAUACAUGUAUAUCAACAUUAUACAAAAAACAUAUGGAUUCAUCCUUUUUCACAUUUCACAUUUCACAACAUCAAAACAUUUUAUCAAGCGCUUGUUCCCAGGAAAUUUUAAAGCAAAAACCGAUAAAAUUCCAAAAUGAUCCAUUAAAACACGUAACAUUUUCCCCCAAACAUUUUGAAAUGCAAGUUCACUCACCUGGCAACAAUGAGAUUUUAAGUCGUUAUUUGUUUAGAGGUGUCUCUAACUAUUUUCAUUGGUCGAUUGCUCGUUUUUUACUCUGGCAUGCCACCACAGUUCUCUAACUUUAUCUUUGCACUUCCUAGCAAUAAUACGAACUCAAUAUAUUUAAUUACAUACGUAUACGGGCAGCACUUCAAUCAAUUAAUCGUUACUCAAAUUUAUAUUUUCAUCCUAUCAUGAAACCAUCUUCAAUUAACUCACAUCUUAAUACAUUUUUACCAAAAUUACUUACAUUCAUUGCUUACAAAAUUCCUUAGAUUAUAUCACCGGCAACUUAUUUAUGAUGUCACGUGCCUACUUCAACCUUUCUAAAUAAUUUUUGCCCAAAUCCAUCUUAUAUUUCCACACCUAAUCUACAUAUAUGGCAACAACAAUUAUUCUCACUUUCACUUGAUUAUUUCCUAGUUUACACGCAUCGUUAUCUAUCUAACUUUCAAUACUUUGUUUCUCAAUCCUCCAUCCACAAUAUUCCCUUUUUAUUUCUUUCAAGCAACAUGCCAUACAAUCUUAACAAUUUUCAAGUAGCUUAGGCAAAUAAAUGCUUUCAACAACCAUAAUUCCUUACAAUAUUCAACUAACCGUAGGCUUUAAAACAUAGUGUUAAGCUUACCGUUUUCCUUUUCAUCUUUGAGUCCUUCAUGUACCCAUGGGUUUAUUGGCUUACAUGUUACCAAUUUUUCUCCAAUCAAGCCAAUCUUUGCUGCCACAAGAUAUUUCUCUAAGUCACUAACUCAUUUUCAAAGACUACUCAAGCCAAAAACAAGAAUUCUUAUCGUUCCUUGCUUGAAUCACCAAAACCAAGCUUUUUCUUCCUUUCUCUCUUUUUCUUUCUUCUCCUCCUAAGGUUUUGGUGUGCUUGAAAUAGGGGUUAAAGGUUGUAAAUUUAAUGCUCAAGAAGUUUGGAGAAGAAAAGACAAGAAAACAUGGAAAGGAAAGUGAAGAAAACUUGAUUUCAUGGUGGAUAAAGAGAAAAUGGCAUGGAAGCUUCAAGAAUGGUGUGGAGCAUGGAUGAAGAAGAAGAAAAAUCUGCUGGGGGAAAGGAUAAGGUCGGUCUUGGCCUAAAAAAAUCAGAGCCAAAGCUUCAUUCGAAAGCUUUGACCAAACUUCACAUAAAAUUACCGUUUUGCCUUUUUUUUUUCCUUCCUUUUUAAUUUAGUCCUCCCAACACUCAUUUAACUC